AAGGAAUUUUCCGCAAUGGGCGAAAGCCUGACGGAGCAACGCCGCGUGUGGGAUGACGCUUUUCGGAGUGUAAACCACUGUUCAUGGGGACGAAGCACUGACGGUACCCAUGGAGGAAGGCCCGGCUAACUACGUGCCAGCAGCCGCGGUAAUACGUAGGGGUCGAGCGUUGUCCGGAGUUACUGGGCGUAAAGCGCAUGCAGGCGGCUCAUUACGCAUGGCGUGAAAGCCCCCGGCUUAACCGGGGAGGGUCGUCGUGAACGGGUGAGCUUGAGGGUAUCAGGGGCUGGUGGAAUUCCCGGUGUAGUGGUGAAAUGCGUAGAGAUCGGGAGGAACACCUGUGGCGAAGGCGGCCAGCUGGGAUACACCUGACGCUGAGAUGCGAAGGCGUGGGGAGCGAAC
rnacentral:rRNA from 1 species